AAGUGGUUUUCUUAGCUCUGCCCUGACCUGAAACUGGUGGUAAAACUUGUCAGCGUGGAGAAACUGAGUGGCCUGGCCAGAGGGGAAUAGCACUCAUGGCAGCACCAGCAGCUUUUCCUCUGACUCCGCUGCACUGGUGCUGAGCGAUCCCACCCGUGAGCAAACCCUCAAGCUGUACUGCAGCUGCUGACUCGAGGCACAUUUCUUUUCCUAGAUGUCACCUUGGGUUUCCUCCCCGCCUCCCCAGCCUCUCUGGGUUUCUAGGAUGCCUGAACUCAUUGCUGACUGUGGCAAUGCUGAUGUGGAUGGGCUGGGCUGCAUAUUUGGGAUCUGAUUCAAAGCCCACUGAAGGCAGGAGCAGUUUGCUGCUGAUGUCAGUGGUCUCAGCAGCAGGCACUGUGUAGCUGUUAUUUGUUAUAUGGACGAUCACAGUUAAAGGGACCGAAGGGAAAAAAAAAAAAAAAAAAAACACAUUCAUUUUAAAGGGGCAGCUGCUCCAGAAGAGAUGCUUAUGCACAAUGCGUGCAGGCUGGUGCAAACUCCCAGCGUGGGGCCAGGCUGCAGGAUCUGGUUCCCCGGCGCCGUCACGGAGGCCGUGUGCUCCGAGCGCUCCCCUGACAGCUGCUCUGCCUCGCUGGGUGAAUAACCAUCCCUAGGUGUGUCUGGACACAUUUCCAUGCUGAUGUGGCAGAUCCCAGGAGCUCUGCAGCCAGGCUUUUUCUGCACAGGCAGAGAGGCACUGCCGGCCCUUUUGCCUAGCCCCCAUCGCAGUGGUGAGAAGCCGCUCUCCAUCUUUUUUUAAAAGCCCCCUUUAAGUACUGAAAGGCCUCGCUGAGGUCUCCCUGAGGUCUCCCAAGCACAGAUGGUGGGACAUGCUCAAAGGGGAGUCCGCACACUCAGCGAGGAUGUAGGAGAUCCCUCCACCACUGGCCCAGCAGAGACCUAGGAGAGGCUGCAUCCUCCUGGCUGAGCUUCUUUUCCUAAAAAGCAGAGUGGAUGCUGCUGCCUUUCUAUCCCGAGCGCUUCACAGCUGCUUGGUGUCAUGUUCUGGAAGUUGGCAUUCGUAGCACAUCCGUGAGGACCCAACCCAAAGCCUCAGGGAGAGAUUUUCCUGCUGGCUCGUGCCCAAGCGCCCCUGGGCAGCCCAGGACGGUGCCUUCAGACACGUGUGUUUGCCUUUCCCACUUGUCGCUGCUGAGCAGGACCCAGGGUAGGAGAGCCUCACACAUGGUAAACGCUGCGUGCCAGGAUGACGUGGUGGUUAUAAAUAAAGACGUAAAACCAAA